rnacentral:rRNA from 1 species
AUACAUGCAAGUCGAGCGGACAGAUGGGAGCUUGCUCCCUGAUGUUAGCGGCGGACGGGUGAGUAACACGUGGGUAACCUGCCUGUAAGACUGGGAUAACUCCGGGAAACCGGGGCUAAUACCGGAUGGUUGUCUGAACCGCAUGGUUCAGACAUAAAAGGUGGCUUCGGCUACCACUUACAGAUGGACCCGCGGCGCAUUAGCUAGUUGGUGAGGUAACGGCUCACCAAGGCGACGAUGCGUAGCCGACCUGAGAGGGUGAUCGGCCACACUGGGACUGAGACACGGCCCAGACUCCUACGGGAGGCAGCAGUAGGGAAUCUUCCGCAAUGGACGAAAGUCUGACGGAGCAACGCCGCGUGAGUGAUGAAGGUUUUCGGAUCGUAAAGCUCUGUUGUUAGGGAAGAACAAGUGCCGUUCAAAUAGGGCGGCACCUUGACGGUACCUAACCAGAAAGCCACGGCUAACUACGUGCCAGCAGCCGCGGUAAUACGUAGGUGGCAAGCGUUGUCCGGAAUUAUUGGGCGUAAAGGGCUCGCAGGCGGUUUCUUAAGUCUGAUGUGAAAGCCCCCGGCUCAACCGGGGAGGGUCAUUGGAAACUGGGGAACUUGAGUGCAGAAGAGGAGAGUGGAAUUCCACGUGUAGCGGUGAAAUGCGUAGAGAUGUGGAGGAACACCAGUGGCGAAGGCGACUCUCUGGUCUGUAACUGACGCUGAGGAGCGAAAGCGUGGGGAGCGAACAGGAUUAGAUACCCUGGUAGUCCACGCCGUAAACGAUGAGUGCUAAGUGUUAGGGGGUUUCCGCCCCUUAGUGCUGCAGCUAACGCAUUAAGCACUCCGCCUGGGGAGUACGGUCGCAAGACUGAAACUCAAAGGAAUUGACGGGGG